GGCCUUUUGUGCUAAAGUCACUAAUUCUGCCCGAAGCUUUCCAUUGCAUGGUAUUCCUCUGUCCGUUAAGAUUUUUUUAAGUUCCGAAACUGUUUUUUUAUCCAUUUUGUGGUCGACGAGAAAUACAUGAACUGAGUGUUGUCUCUACACUGUUUACUGUAUCGUCUGCUCGUGAUUGUGACGCUGGUC